UUUCUCAACUCUCUAUCCAGCUUGAAAGCAAAGCUCUACAAAUUGUAGUUAGUCAGUGGAUGAAAGUGUCAGUGACAGUUGACAGCACCGUAGGAAAUGACACCUUCUUUGCAGUUAUGUGGAGUGGCUCUUUACCACACAUUUUUCUCAGGGACCCUAAUGGAAAAGAAUAUGGACAUUCUGACUUUACCAUUAGUGAUACAAACCUCCAAACAGCUCAAUUCACUGUAGCAGACACUGCAGAGUGGGGAGAUUGGUAUUAUCAGAUUCAAAAUACAUAUACAGCCUCUCAAGUCAUAUCAAUGACAGUAACCUCUCAAGCAACAUCUUUGGAUGUGCCUCCAGUGACUGUGAGAGCUCACAUGAAUAAGGAUACAAACAGUGUCCCUAGUCCAACAGUUAUUUAUGCAGAAGUUAGCCAAGCUUUCUUGCCUGUUCUUGGUGCAAUGGUGAAGGCUACUGUUGAACCGCAGACUGGAACUGCAGUAGAUCUGGAACUACUUGACAAUGA